CGGGCUGGGGCGCAGUUUGGUAGCGAACUUGACUGGGGGUCAAGUGGUCGCAGGUUCAAAUCCUGUCAGCCCGA
rnacentral:tRNA from 1 species